GCCUGGGUGGCUUACUUGGUUAAGUGUCUGACUUUGGCUCAGGUAGUGAUCUCGUGGACCAUGGGUUCGAGCCCUGUGUCAGGCU
rnacentral:tRNA from 1 species